AACAAUGCAAACAAUGGUUUGCGACCUGGCACCGUCGCUCAGACUCUGCUUAAACGGAAGCUGUUUGCCUGGGUGCUAGGCAUUCUCAGGCAGGCGACAUGUGCAUAUAC
rnacentral:misc_RNA from 1 species